GCUCUUCUGACGCAAGCACCAUGCCACUGUCCGACUGGUUGUCCUGCGUAAGAGACAAGGAGACGCUCGGCUGACUGCGCGCAGGCAGGGACCCGCGACUGACUUCACCUGAUUCCCAACUCCUCUAUCAGAGCACACGCUCCAGUGUCCUGCAGGGGAAGGUGAAGCUGUCGCAGCUGGAACGGCGCAAGCUAGCGGAGGGCGCAGGUGCUCCCCACAGGCCGCCUGCUGGAAUAUGCCCAUACACCUCAGGGCAAAGGAGAAUGGAGACCUGGCCAGCGCCGUGGCUCACUAGGCUAAUCCUCCACCUGUGGUGCCGACACACCGGGUUCUAGUCCCGGUCAGGGCGCCAGAUUCUGUCCCAGUUGCCCCUCUUCCAGGCCAGCUCUCUGCUGUGGCCCGGGAGUGCAGUGGAGGAUGGCCCAGGUGCUUGGGCCCUGCACCCCAUGGGAGACCAGGAGAAGCACCUGGCUCCUGCCUUCGGAUCAGCGUGGUGUGCCGGCCACAGCGGCCAUUGGAGGGUGAACCAACAGCAAAAGGAAGACCUUUCUCUCUGUCUCUCUCUCUCACUGUCCACUCUGCCUGUCAAAAAAUAAAAAAAAAAAAAUUAAAAGAAAAAAAAGGAGAAUGGAGACCAAGUCUCCCUCCUCCACCAAGGAGGCUGACUCCUCUCCCUACAAGGAAAGAGAACAAACAUGGGGUUUGCCAGUGACCCACACACACAAGACUCCACACGACAAACAGGACUCGAGCUGCAGCCAGAAGCAAGGUCCCUAACAGUGGAGCUGUCAACAACGACACGCCCUACACAUCCAUGUCAAUCACCCAUUCACUCACUCAACAGGAAGCCCUCACUGAGGGCCUCCCCCACGUCGGGGAAUGCUAAGUGCCCUUCCAACGCCAAUAUGGCAUCCUUACAAUGCUACUGCUCUAGGAGCGGGCAUUACUAGCCCAGCUCUUCAGGUGGGGAAACUGAGGCACGGGCAGGUCAAGGAACUCGUGAGAAAUCCCAUGGCUAGAGCGUUAUUAUUUUGAAGGUGACGAGAAAGCCUGGAGGAUUUUAAGCAUGGGACUGACAUGAGCAGAUGCGCCCUUAGAAAGUUCACUUUGGGCUAUGGACACAACCAGAGGUAGUGGGACCCACCGGAAGGACAACGCCCUGAACCAGAAGGCAGCCAGGCGCAAGGCAGGGAAGACCCACGGGAGCUGCAGACAGGCAGAGUCCAGAGAAGUCUGGGAGGGAGGGUCCCCUAGGGUGGUGAGCCUGAGUGACAGGGCAGCUGUCCUAGCAAGCGCCUGGAUUCUGAGCCCAGUGACUUCAAGCGGGGCCCGGUCUUUCAGGGCCGCCACAGCACUUCCGCAACACGUGGCAGCCGCUCCUCACGGAACCACCAAACAGGUCUCCCCACGAUUUCCCACUUGGAAAUCAGGAAGCCAAGGCCCAAGGGGAAAAACAGCCAACGGGGGCUGGGACCAUGACUCAAAGCCUGGGCAAGGGAGUAUUUUGUUCUUUCCUCCGCAUCGACUCCCUUGGAAGGGCGUCAGGAGCGAGCGAGGGACAGGCACGGUUGUUCACGUCUGUGUGGGACACGCACAGCUGUGGGUGCACUGACCUUGCGCUGGGAGAAAGAGGGGGCAUGAAACAGACAAGAGGUGGAGACAGCCGUCCCCCGCCCCAGCCCGAGCGUGCACCUGGCAGGCUGCCCCACGCAUCCUCUACCAGGGUCACUUCCUCAGCACUGGCAAAUUCACCCCAAGAAGGACACGGCGUGAACCUAGGCUGUUCUCUGGGGAGAACCGCGAUGCAGUCUUUGACCAGGGGCUUGGCAUGGGAGGUCAAACUUCCAGGGGAAAUGACGGAGCCACCGCACACACGGUCCUCAAAGCGAGAUGGGUCCUGAGGAUACGCGCUUUCUCGCAGGAAGCACGCAGCCUGGGGGCCAGAGCUGACCCGUGGGGAAAAUCAGAGACAGAGCGAAGUCUAGACAGGAGCGGGCCUUCCCCCACCCCGCACGCUUUCCAGCCUCCUCGCUCAAUACGUGCUGCGCAAAUAUUUUGACAACUGUUUAAAGGGGCAAGAGAUCCCGAGGCUAGCUCCCACAGCGAUGCCUCCGUCCGGCUCUAUUUAUAACACGAUGCGUUGAAAAUCAUAAGGCGGAAGCAAGAGCUUUUCUCUCUGGCUGGAAACGCACGAGAGGACAGAACAAGUCUCUGGAGAGGGGCCGCCGCCUCCACUCUGUCUCCCCAGAGAAGCAAAACCACAAGACAAGCAUCAGAAACCAAGUGCGUCGAGGCCUCCGUUUGGUUCUUCUUUGUAACCCAGAUGAUUACAAGCCUGCUGUGAGUUUUAUUUUUACAAAAAGGGGGAAAUUAGAGGGGGUUGGGAAGACCUGCAGAUAAAAGAUUCCAAUUUCCACUUUAUUUUUCAAAUUAUGGCUGGAUAAAAGAGAAAUCAGGCUGAAGAGACCAGUUCAAAAACCACAGACAGAAAACAGCAGGCAGGUGCAUGCCGGGAGUGUGGCGUCACUUUGGCCUGUGCACCCAGGCGGGAAAAGGCUCACACUCCUAUCUCAGGGGCAGCCCUGUUUGUGGGCAUGACGCGCACACCCAUGGCUUUAUCUCCUACUUGGUCCAUGUGCUGCACUCCCACGCCAGCCAAUGGGCUGCCGGCUUGCGUGCUCUCUCGAGCCAGUCACGCAAACACAGGAGGGUGGUUCAGGAUGCAGUGACUCUGAGAGAGGAGGAGACAGCGCCGGCGCUGAACUUGAACUAGGAAUUCGCAAGUGUGGGAGUGGAAACUGGGUCUUGUUUAGUGACUCUGUCUCUCUGACGGCCCCUCCUUGGUCAGGGGCCCAGGACUGGAUCCAUGUCAGGGGUGUGAUCUGAGUAGGAGGGAGCUGAGCGGGAGGUUGGGCGCCCAGCCCCAGUCGCUUGGCUGCUGACUGCCACGCCCGGAUGUUGAGCCACCACACCGUCCUGCCCUAGGUAAUGGAGCUGGCCUCAUGCUGCGACCGAGCAAGGAGCGAGCUGCCUUCAGGAAUGGACUUCAGUACACAUGUUUCAGAUGAGCCCAGAUGCCCGUUAUGCAAAUACAACGCUGAGAACCAGUCUCAGGAGGAGCCUGCAAGACACAGCAUCCACUCUGGCCCCAGCCACAGCUGCACGAUGGUCUAUGCCGCGGGCAGAGCGCCUUGCGUGUGUCUCACACUUGCACAGGACUCCCCCUGCCUGGAUCUUUCCUAAGCCAGUUAAUUCCCAUGGAUAAAGGCGGACAUGGGGGUAAUUUAAAUGCAGAUGUCUCUGUGAAACUGGUCUCUUUUUCUGCAGGGUAGCAAGCUGGGGCAUUCCAGCUAUUCACAGCUGCAGGGUGUCCGUGGCAGCAACAUGGGCUCCAGGUGGGAGGAAGCACACCCAUCCAGUGCCUCUCCAAGGAGCACCCGCCCACACACACACACACACACAGGUGUCUCAGCGCCAAGGUUCCGGGGAAGUGGGAUGCAGCCCGCAUCUUCCUCCCAGUCCCCUCCCCCGAAUGGGUGUGAAGCUCUGCUCUCCCCACCCCCAGGGGAAGCUGGCCACACACACACACACACACACACACGCAUACCUGAUUCCUGCUGUGUUGUCAUAAUGGAAUUUGGGGUCGCACACUUCCUCUUCCUCCAUACAGGAAACAGGUGAGGUAGGCAGGGAGAGCCCGGAAUCCUCUUCCAUGCUCAAAGUCUCUGACAUCGGAAGAACGAUGUAGUCUUUGCCACCCUGAAACCGUCAGCACAGAGAUCUAUCGUUACAGCGCUGGUCCCGCAAGAGCCUUCUCAUGGGCAACAGGGGCACGGCGGCCUCGGGGUGAUAGGGUGUGCUGGCUUUCAUAUCUGCACGGUAAUCAAAAUGGUUUGGGCAAAGAAGGGCGCUUGAAAGCAAGGAUGGGCGUGAGAAGGAACAGGAAAGGGGGUCAUUACCGACCAGGAGGCUGGGGGCCCACAGCCCCAGAGAACUGCUCUGGUCACAGGUGGGACAAGGACAAAGGCAGAGACGCAGAGCUGAGGCCCUGGUCGUCACAAAGCCCGGCCACCAGGCCAGCCCUGCCAAGCACAUCCAGGUGGAACUUCUGCACGUGGAGCACCGGGCAAAGGGAUGACAGGUGAGUGGGUGGGAAAUGGGCCUUCCAAGAAGACGGUGCACGAUGCAACAUUAUUUCUCCAGAGAACGCAGCCAAGGGCAGUGUGGUGCCUCCAGGUGUUUGGAAGGUGAUGGAUGAAAACAGAUCUCGCCUAUUUCCCAGCGCCCCUCAGAAGCAGAGGAGGAAACUGGUUUUCACUGUAGGAUGAGGCAUAGACUAACGAUGAAAUUAUUUUCUAAUGGUAAAAGCUACAACUCUAAAAUCCGGUAGUAGAAGCCAUGGGAUUGGGAUUUUACCCAAAAAAAAAAAAAAAAAAAGAAAAAAAGAAAA